AAGUCGUAACAAGGUUUCCGUAGGUGAACCUGCGGAAGGAUCAUUAACACGUAUCCACGUAUCAACCAAUGAGAACCUGUUUUCCCGUCUCCCUUUGCAAAGAAUGAAUUGGAACCAGUUUGAGGGAGUGAUGGGACUGAAAAGUCGGCCUUCCUGGUACACUUAUGCAGAUAGAAAUAUUUGCAUAGACAAUUGAAUUUUUGCAGAGGCUAUUUCUUAUCGCUUUGAUCUCCAUCAUGAUCGUGGCGUUAGGGAAACCUUUCACAACAUUUACCAUUUUUGCUAGUUGACUUUUUAUAUGUGUUGUUUUGCGCAAGCAAGAGAGCACACGUUUAUUAAUUGAACGUUAAAAAAUACAACUCUUAGCAAUGGAUAUCUUGGUUCUC
rnacentral:misc_RNA from 1 species